GUCGAGCGAACAGAUGAGGAGCUUGCUCCUCUGACGUUAGCGGCGGACGGGUGAGUAACACGUGGAUAACCUACCUAUAAGACUGGGAUAACUACGGGAAACCGGAGCUAAUACCGGAUAAUAUAUUGAACCGCAUGGUUCAAUAGUGAAAGACGGUUUUGCUGUCACUUAUAGAUGGAUCCGCGCCGCAUUAGCUAGUUGGUAAGGUAACGGCUUACCAAGGCAACGAUGCGUAGCCGACCUGAGAGGGUGAUCGGCCACACUGGAACUGAGACACGGUCCAGACUCCUACGGGAGGCAGCAGUAGGGAAUCUUCCGCAAUGGGCGAAGGCCUGACGGAGCAACGCCGCGUGAGUGAUGAAGGUCUUCGGAUCGUAAAACUCUGUUAUUAGGGAAGAACAAAUGUGUAAGUAACUAUGCACGUCUUGACGGUACCUAAUCAGAAAGCCACGGCUAACUACGUGCCAGCAGCCGCGGUAAUACGUAGGUGGCAAGCGUUAUCCGGAAUUAUUGGGCGUAAAGCGCGCGUAGGCGGUUUUUUAAGUCUGAUGUGAAAGCCCACGGCUCAACCGUGGAGGGUCAUUGGAAACUGGAAAACUUGAGUGCAGAAGAGGAAAGUGGAAUUCCAUGUGUAGCGGUGAAAUGCGCAGAGAUAUGGAGGAACACCAGUGGCGAAGGCGACUUUCUGGUCUGUAACUGACGCUGAUGUGCGAAAGCGUG
rnacentral:rRNA from 1 species